GGGCCGGUAGCAAAAUAGUAACCGCACUCCUCUGAAAAAGGAGAUCCUGGGAGGGAAACUGCGGGUGCAAAUCCCGUCCGGUCCA
rnacentral:tRNA from 1 species